UGUGAUUUUUGCAGAGCAGGUUGAGAAAUGGACCUACUUGACUACUUUAAGAAAUUAGGCUGGAAGAAUGACAAGGAAACUGGAAAUACUGAAGCAAACUGCUUUUUAUAGAUGUUUGUUUUAAUGUGAAAAUCCCUCUUUAUUUUUCUAUGUAUAAAUGAAAUUGAAACUUAAUGGUAGGACUGGGCCUGAAACCAAUGUUGAAUGAUUCAAGGUGACUUGCUGUGUACUGUCUGGUGCCACUAUUCUGUAGCUCCCAUAAGGUGGAGCUUGAUGUUUGGGAAGGUUUAAAAAGAUAGCCAUUUAAAUUUAAACAUUCCACUCACUUAGCUACAACUUGGCUUGUCCUGCUGGUUGGACAACACAAGCAAGCUCACUCGGUGCAGUUCUUAAGGUUACUACAAUUUCAGCUAUGAAUAUAUUAUCCAUGUGUAUAUUUGAAGUACUGUAAUACUAACUAGGUCAAUGACUGAUUAUGAGCCUUCACAUCCGACAGACCUCAGCAGCAGGCACAGCUAUUUUGGUUCUAUACACUGUAUAAAACUUAGGUCCAAUAAUCACUUAACAGUAAAUUGAACGUGACUGCAAAUUGAUGCUUACUUUUAGCUUACUCCAGCAAGAUAACUCAGCUAUCCAAACUGAUGUACAUAAUGUAUUAUAUGAGUUUUACCAUUUGAUAAUUGCCUUUUUCAAAGAAAACCUGUCCACACUAGACUGGCAGUCCCUUUCAUAUCUUGCCUUUAAAGAUAGACAAGUGUUUCGUUGUUAGAGUAGUAUUCAUGUAGGCUUAUAGUAGCAGAUAGCACCAACAUUUUAUUUGAGAUAGUUAAGUGGAUUAAUUACAACUUCACUGAUAUGUCCCCAAAUCUGUAACACCAAAGGCUUCCCUCUCAUUGUUCUUGAUGUAGUAGGACAGUGUUUGUGUAAAGGCCCCAGGAGUACAUUUUGUUGGACAUAUUUACACCCAGUCAAGAUGUUAAGGUGAUAAAAAUGUCAAUUGUUCUUUACAAACUUACACAUUGUAUAGUAUACAGAAUAAAUUGAUCUACUUAGUUUUUAUUGCAAAAUGGAGGUUUGUCUCAUCUUUACUCUGGUUUCCUAAACAAUAUUGGAUACUUCGGUAUUCUCUACUGAAAAUUUCUAAACCCUAAAUCUUGCUACUCUGUAUCAUUAAAAAUAUGACUGGGCUUUGGUUUCUAGUAUGUUAGACUACAGAAUUACUUUAAUGUAAUCACAUUUAUAUAUAUUUCAGUGCUUAUUUUUCUAUUAAGGCAAUUAAAGCUUAUUGUUUGAAAACUC